GGCGCUCGGUGCGCCGGAGGCCGCCCUGCGGGAGACCCGGCCCCGGGCCGCCCCCCGCGCUGCCGGCAGCUCGCAUCGGUCCCACCGCCCACCCCCCGCCAGCUGCUGCGGCACCGAGCGUGGCUCCGCUUCGCCGGGCUGCGCCCCGCUCGGUACCCACGGAGCAACCCGGCCGUGCCGCCGCGGGGUUUUGCCGUUACCGCCGCUGGUCGGGGGCGAAACCAGACAUUUUGCAUCACCGCCCAGGCCGGGCGCCGGGCCGGGCGCGGCGUGCUCAGGCCGGGAGCGCGGUCCCGAGAAACCCGGGGCCCGCAGCACCCGGCCCUGCCUCAGCCCCGCUCCCCCGCGGGCUUCGUGUCCCCCCACUCAAAGUUGGGCGUCCUCAAGGAGCGUUUCCUUGUUGAAGCUUAAGAUUUGGGGUCGGGAAGGGGAGUUUAAGCUUCUGUUGUGGCGUCUUUUCUUUUCGUGCCUCUAAGUAUUUCCAGAUGGGGAUUUAGACACCAGACGUAACAAUAUUUCCAUAUUUGGUAUAGCAGUAGCCUGCAUUUUUCACAUUUUUCUGCUCUGUUAUCCAACCACAAAGCAUUCUUGACAGCUUCAGAUGUUGUUAAAUAUAGCCUUAACUUCUGUUCCCAGGGCAGGAAAUUCUUUGGAAUUCCUGUUUUUUCACGCAAUCUGUCUAUCAUGAUUUAGGAGAAUUGCGCUGGAGGAGCCAACUGGCGUUAUACUGCAGUUCGCUCCUUUAUUGAAAAAAGCCCAGCAGUUGAGCCUGCUACCCAACGGCGUUGCAAUAAGUCCCCAUUCCAGGGAUUUUUCUUUGCAAAUUAGUGAGUGUCUGGGCGCGCCGCUCCUCACGGACGGGCAUUUCGGGAGGGGAGGCGGGGGCAGCCCCGCCGCUCGGAGGAGCGAAGCCCAGACGUCUCGUCGCCUGCCCGGUGCCACGGCCGAAAGGGUUACAGAAAGGACCGUUUCCCGGGAGCCGCGCACAUGGCCGCGGGAUGACUUCUUUACAUGGCAGCAUUGUGAUCAGGAGGAACAAGUUUGUGAUUCAACACACCUCGAUUAAUGAACAUUUUGAAAAUUUUUCGAAAAUUUUUCAAAAAUUUUGAAAAAAAGCAGAAGGAGCUGGCGCACCAAUGCGCAGUUAAACUGGCCAGUUUUGCUUUUCAGGGAUUUAUGCAAACACUUGUUUAUUUAAUUCCAUCUAAUUUAAGGACAGGCACCGAGCGUUUCGCUUUGAUCUAUGACUUUCACAACAUCCAGCAAAUGCCACAGGAAAAGUCAAUGAAUAGCGCCUUUUCUCACUUGGGUUUGUGUCUUACCACACAUUCACACAACUUUGGUGGGAAACUGUAACCGAACCUACCUUUGCUCAAAAAAAAAGGUCACUUCGAAAGCUUUGAAGCACCUUUUAACAGACCUGUCCUUAAUUUCAAGUAGUUGACAACACUUGAGAUGGGUUGAGUUUCUCUGGAGUUCAGGUUAGACUGUGACCCUUUCAUAGGCUUUCCCUGCACACGUUUCCCUGUCACAAGCCGUGACCCAGCAUUUACCUUCCAGGCUGUGCCUACACCUCCCGGAUGCACGUCAGGAAACAGGGAAAAGUUUGGAAUAUCUUCCUUUUUAGAUUUUGUUCAGUGUAAUGUGCUGUUCCAGACCUUUGUUGUGCUAAGUGAACUGGGAAACACUCCCUGCUUCACGUCAUGAAGAGUAUUUCACUGGCUUCUUGCUUUUUGUGCCAUAGGCAAUCGCUGUCUGUCAGGCCUGCGUCUCUCUGGGGAAAGGACUUUCCAGCAAAACAAAUCAAGAAAAAAAAAAAUAAUAACUGAGUGGUUUAUCUUCCCUCCGCCCAGCGUCAGCUCUCGUGGCCAUGCGUAGGGACCGCGGAGCAGCGUGAAGUGCCGUGUAGGACGGAGGCUCCUCCGGGUGCCGGUGUUCCCACUGAUACAUUUGUGCACUGAGAGGCACUUUGCUUUGUAGGCAUGCUGCAUUUUCCUCUGGCUGCUGUCAAGGUGUCGCAGAGGUUCCUGUUGUGUGAAAGUGGAAGGGGGACUUGUGAGCCGCCUCACUCUGCAGGGAAACAGGAGGGAAUUUGGCAGUAAUAUUCAGUCAUGCUCAUUGCUGCUUUGGUGUGUGAACUGCACUGCUACACAGAUAGACCUUACACAGCCACGAGGGACGCAGCAGCACAACAGAGGCAAGAAGCAUCCCUGCCGGUGCUCAGCGCGCUCCUGUUGACCGGCUGACCGGCAGUACGUGCUGCCCGGCUUUCUCACCCCAAGCCGGAUGCAGAAAUGCAAAGCAGUUACAGCCAACUCCUGCUUAGUUCUUCUUUCCCAGUCAGAGACUCAAAAUACCUUAGUCACAGUCAUUCAGGAUCUGGCAUUAACUUUAUUUUAGUACCAGCCACUGCAGUUUCCCCAGUAAGACAGGUGGAUUACUCAGUAUAUACUCACCUACUCUCGUGCAUGUGUACUUCAACACUAGGCUACAUUCAGAGGGUGCAGUUUGCAUCAGCCACAUCCCUAUAGCUGAAGUUUGCAAUGAAGACUAUUACAGGCUUCAGCUUUCCAUACCACAAAAACAAACAAACAAACAAACAAAAAAAAGAACAGGUGGUCCUAGCUAGCACCUGGCUGCACCUGGAUUUCUUAGUCGUGUCUGUUAUCCCAUGCAGUGAUGUAGCUUGCAGAUGAUAGCAAUAUAGCCUGAAAUCUCUUUAUAUAUUCUAGAAAAAAAAAAAAUCACAGCCAUGUCUCCUGAGUUCCCUGAAGGAGGCUGGGGCAUCAUCAGCAUACUUGUCGUCUUUCUCAGUGUCAGCUGAGAUGGUCUCGGACAGGGAUCCCACCCCAGAGAGUUCAUCAUCCCAAAUGACCUCAGUAGAGACUUCUUUAAACCCUGCUUCUCAGGGUGCAGCAUUUCCCCGUGGAGCAGUGCCUGCAAACUGUCAUCUGUUAAGAUGAAGUGAGCAAGUUCAAGGGAAAAUUGCUCGUGAUGGCAAGGAGUUACUGGAGCUAGCUGAACCUGAUUGCAAUCAGUCAGGUUGUGCCUGAGAAAUCCUUGAUCAAAGCCCACUCCAGGCUGUGGUCCAUAAUGGUUGUCAGCUGCUGUCCGCCUCAGCCUACAGCGUAACCACACCUUGGAGGCAACUGUUCCUGCUUUUGUCUGUGUUGUGGGGCUGUGUGCCCCGGAACGUGCUUCCUUCGGUAUGUUCAGGUUUGUUGCUUGUUUCUUUUCUUUUUUCUACAUUUGAAAUACAUGGCAAACUCUUGUUUCUCCAGAAGUGGUUUGUUUCAUUAUAGCUAAUAAUCACAGCUAUGUUUCCUUGAGGUUAGUCUGUGUCAAAGCUAAGGGAACCCUCUGCCUUCCUUUGGGUGCUUUCCCUUCCUGCUGUUUGUGAUCUGAUGGAACAGUUUCUUGUCGCUGAUAUAGGGACGUUCAAAGGGCUUGCCUAGCCUUUGGUUUUAAGAACACAUUUUUAUGGCUAUUUUCUUGAAAAAAAAAGAAAAAAAAAGUUUUGAUUAAUAUCCUUUUUUGUUUUUUCCUUUUGCUUGCAAAUAGAAGGGGAGGCCUGAUCUGGCAGGGUGCUGAACAUGCUCUGCCACACAGUGAAUUCUGUCACUUACUGUGCUUUCCAGGCUAGCUGCUGGAAAUGUCACAGGAUUAAUUUCAGAAUCCCUUGAGGUCCCUGUUGGCUUUGUCCAGAAUCAUUACUCAUUCUCUGCUACGUACACAAGCUUAUUAAAACACGGUGAGACCUUAGUUGUGUUUGCUGCAUUACUGUUUAUUUCCAUUCUGUUCCAUCUGGGCUCUCACCCUUUGCUUUCCAGUAUGUUACAUGAGCACCUUGCAGUGGCAGCUGGCUGAGUUCUCUUGUGCAUGGUUAUUUUAUGGCACACAUGAGCUAACCGACGCAAGGAAGCCAGCCACGACCUCCUCCAGGGCUGCUCUGCUGCUGGAGAUCAGUCACUUGCACCCUUCCUUGGCUUGUGCCCCUUGCUUCUAGUCUGUGAUAGAGUAGUGCGAGAAUCAAUAGCAGACAAAUAAGUAGACACGAUGUCAUCCUUGCAGAUAGGGAGGACUUGCAGGCAGCCAAUAGAUCGUGUAUGUGCUUUAAGAAUGUUUGUGGAGACGGAGUUACAAU